AUCUAAUAUUAGAGAAUAUGUUUUUAAUAUAUUGAAAAAUAAAUGGAGUAAAAAAGAUGAUAAUAAAUUGCAUGAAAUUAAACCUAAUUUAGGCAAACCUUUUGAUAAUAUUAUGUGCAGAAAAGAUCAGUGUGUUAUUACUAGAUGUCGUAUUGGUCAUACUAGAAUAACACACGAGUAUCUUUUAAAAAAUGAAGAUGAACCACAAUGUGUUCCUUGCAAC
rnacentral:lncRNA from 1 species